rnacentral:lncRNA from 1 species
UAAUUUGGGAUAUAUUGAGAGUUGUCACACAAUUCAAGACUCUCCACAAAACAAGUGUGUUCAAGAAGGAGGGCACUAUGGUCAUUUUAUUCCUUGGCUUAUGAAAAGGGGUGCAAACAUUGAAAAAGGGGGUGACAUCUAGAAGCAGAAGUGUGGUCACGGUUUGGGCUGGUCUUCACACGUUGCAGCACACACCCACGACAGUAGAAGGAGUGCAUCAUGCAACAACCCACAUAACACGAUCCAGGAGGGUCUUCAGCGGUGCACAUGAUGGAUAAAAAGCAGUAGCAUCACGUGUUGAAGAAGGAAUGAGUUGUCACGGGCCUUCACUACACUCAGUCCUGCGUUUUCCUUGAGAAAGCUGCAGCGGCCCACCAACACGCAGCAACUUCAACGUCC